GUCCUCUCCUAUUCCCUCACAUCCUUCUCUGUGGCUGAGGGAUCAUUGGGUGAUGGACCAGCUGCUGUGCUUUAGCCCCCUGGACAAGGCUUAUGUUUAAAAACUACUCCUGGCCUUAUUUUUCUUGGCAAGUGGCAGCCUUCCCCAGGGUGUUGCUCCUGGUCUCAGCUGCCCUGUACCUGAGCUGGGUGAUGCUCUGUUGGGUGACUACUCCUGUUGUCAUCUGUGAGGUCAGUAGUGAAGAGAGCUGACCAGCAAUGGAAUUCUGCUCUUCAGACAGAGGCCUGAACAGCAUUUGUGUUGAAAUCAUCUGCUCUGUUUGGAGACUGGAGGAAAACUCCUUUCUGUACAGCUGGGCAGCAUUCCAAAGGGGAAGGAAAAAAAAAAACCUACCAGUUACAGCUUGAAGUGAAAGCUCACCCAAACCAAUAAUAAACCAAUCAGAACAACUGCCUCUUCUACUCUGUGGCCGUUAAAAGAGCACUUGUACGCUGCUUUAAGUGAGCCUGACCACUCCCUGCCUGUUGAAUGCACCUUUGUGACUGGAAGGUGCAUUCAUUCUUCUUGCAGCACUGCCUGUGAAGCCAGUUUUAUGGAUUAAAGACUUGGAGCAUAAUGUAGGCACCUGUCGAUUUAGGGGAGCCUAAAAAUAUCUCCCUGACUCUCACACGUUUUGCAGCAACUUGGAGCAUAUGUACACUUCACAUAUCUUUUAGCUUGGGUUCUGUGGUGGGGGGGUGGUGUUUUUUUUCCUCUCCCAGUCCUUGUCUGUCACCUCAGCCAGCACAACAAGCUGUAAUCUGAAUAAUAAAGUACAUCUUGUUCA